rnacentral:sRNA from 1 species
CUUGGUCAUUUAGAGGAAGUAAAAGUCGUAACAAGAUUUCCGUAGGUGAACCUGCGGAAGGAUCAUUAAAGAAUGCCCCGUUUUUUGAAAUGGGUUCUGUUCCCAAACCGUGUAUACAUACUUUUGUUGCUUUGGCAGGCCGCCUUCGGGCGUCGGCUCACGCUGACAGCGCCUGCCAGAGGACCCAAACUCGUUUGUUUAGUGAUGUCUGAGUACUAUAUAAUAGUUAAAACUUUCAACAACGGAUCUCUUGGUUCUGGCAUCGAUGAAGAACGCAGCGAAAUGCGAUAAGUAAUGUGAAUUGCAGAAUUCAGUGAAUCAUCGAAUCUUUGAACGCACAUUGCGCCCCUUGGUAUUCCGAGGGGCAUGCCUGUUCGAGCGUCAUUAUGACCACUCAAGCCUAGCUUGGUAUUGGGGUUCGCGGUCCCGCGGCCCUUAAAAUCAGUGGCGGUGCCAUCUGGCUCUAAGCGUAGUAAUUUAUCUCGCUAUUGGGUCCGGUGGUUGCUUGCCAACAACCCCUAACUUUUAAGGUUGACCUCGGAUCAGGUAGGGAUACCCGCUGAACUUAAGCAUAUCAAUAAGCGGAGGA